rnacentral:rRNA from 1 species
GAUGAACGCUGGCGGCGUGCUUAACACAUGCAAGUCGAACGGAAAGGCCCUGCUUUUGUGGGGCGCAUGAUUGGCGAACGGGUGAGUAACACGCGAGUAACCUGCCCCUGACUUUGGGAUAACUUCUGGGAACUGGGGCUAAUACCCGAUAUGAGAUUCUGCUGCAUGUUGGGCGUUGGAAAGAUUCGGCUGUGGGGGAUGGACUCGCUGCUUAUGAGCUUGAUGGGCGAGUAGUGGCUUACCAAGGUUUUGACGGGUAGCCUGCCUGAGAGGGCUGCCGGGGUCAUUGGGACUGCGAGAGGGAGCAGACUGGUACGGGCGGCAGCGGGCGAGAAUAUUGCAGAAUGGGCGGACGCGUGAGGCAGAGGCGCCGCGUGCGGAAUGACGGCCUUCGGGUGAUAAACAGAUUUCGCCUGUGACGAGGCGUGCGUGACGGUAAUGGGUAAAGAAGCACCGGCUAACUACGUG